rnacentral:rRNA from 1 species
AACGAACGCUGGCGGCAGGCUUAACACAUGCAAGUCGAACGCCCCGCAAGGGGAGUGGCAGACGGGUGAGUAACGCGUGGGAACAUACCCUUUCCUGCGGAAUAGCUCUGGGAAACUGGAAUUAAUACCGCAUACGCCCUACGGGGGAAAGAUUUAUCGGGGAAGGAUUGGCCCGCGUUGGAUUAGCUAGUUGGUGGGGUAAAGGCCUACCAAGGCGACGAUCCAUAGCUGGUCUGAGAGGAUGAUCAGCCACAUUGGGACUGAGACACGGCCCAAACUCCUACGGGAGGCAGCAGUGGGGAAUAUUAGACAAUGGGCUCAAGUCUGAUCCAGCCAUGCCGCGUGAGUGAUGAAGGCCUUAGGGUUGUAAAGCUCUUUCACCGAUGAAGAUAAUGACGGUAGUCGGAGAAGAAGCCCCGGCUAACCUCGUGCCAGCCGCCGCCGUAAAAC